rnacentral:piRNA from 1 species
UCUGACGUGACUGUUGAGGUGAUCCGGCC